rnacentral:rRNA from 1 species
AUGGCGCCCAAGCGCUCCGCCGCCACGGCGUGGGGGUCCCCGUCCGACGCCUCCGACGCGGAGGGCGACGCGGGCCACGGCCGCCGCGACCGCGACGACCCCCCCUCUGACACCGACCCCUCCAAGACCCCGCCGCCCAACCCUAACCCUAAGUCGUCCGCCGCCGCGCCCUCCUCCACCCCCUCCGUCGCGGCCGACUCCGCCGCCGCCGGAUCCGACUCCGGGGGCACCUACGACUCCGACGCCGAGGCGCACCGCCGCCCCGCGCCCAAGCCCGCCGCCUCCUCGCCCAAGCCCGGCGGCAAGCCCAGGGCGCGCUCCCCCGGCAUCAACUCCGACUCCUACAACUCCGAGGACUCCGACGCCGAGGCCGACCGCCGUCUCGCCGCUCCCAAGGCCGCCCCCUCGUCGCCCAAGCCCGGCGGCAAGCCCAGGGCGCGCUCCCCCGGCAUCAACUCCGACUCCGAGGACUCCGCCGCGCCCGUGGCCUCGGACGCCGACCUCGACCCGGCCGCCGGCGCCGACUCUGAAGACGACAACGUCUCGCCGCUCCGCUCCGCGCGCCGCCCCCGCGCGGAGGCAUCCAUCAUCAAACCCAUCAGCUCCCGCCCCAUGGACUCGCCGCCCCGCGGCAGCGCCUCUGCCUCGGAGCCGCGCGUCAAGCGCCCCCGCAGCGCCGCCAUAUCAGCGCCCUCUCCGGACCCGCUGAAGCGCCCGUCGCGGCUCUGGAGCCAUGGCGACGAGCUUCUCAUCCUGCGCGGCCUCGCCACAUACCGCGCCAAGAGCGGCGUGCUCCCUGGUUCCACCAAUGACAUCGGUAAGCUCCACAGCCACAUCCGUGCCCAGCUCAGUGUUAGGGUAUCCACCACGCAGCUCAGUGACAAGGUCCGGCGCCUCAAGCAGAAGUACCAGUUACUUGCCACCCGUGCCAAGAAUGGACGGGAGCAAGAAUUGCACACUCCUCAUGACCGCAGCAUCUAUGAGCAUGCCAAGAAGGUUUGGGGGUUGGUUGGUAGUGGUGGUGGUGAUGGAGGAGGCAGUGGGUAUGAGAAUUAUGGUGGUGGUGAUAGUGAUGAAUUGCAAUACAGCGGAGAUAGUGAUGAUGAUAUGGAGAGUCAGCGGGAUGACCGCUACCACAUCAAGAACCGGAAGGUGAGGCCAAUUACAGCGGCCAAUGGCAAUGGGAUUGGGCUUGGGGCUGUCAAUGCCAAUGGCAGAGGGAAAAGCGGGCUUGAGAAGGGGAAGGAUGCAUAUCCCUACCUGUGGGAGACUGUUGAGGAGCUGUCCAAGGAGCAUCCGAGUGGUGCGGCAUUCAAGAAGGCAUUUGAGGUGCUCGAAGGAUCAAAAGCGCGGGCCAUUGAGGAAAAGCUGAGGAGGUUUAGGUUGACGGAGAUCAGACAGCAGCUGCGUAGGAUGGACCUGAUGAAGGAGACGGUGAGGAUGGUGCUCGAUGCCCUUGAGAGUGCUGACUGA